GAUGAACGCUGGCGGCGUGCCUAAUACAUGCAAGUCGAGCGAACGGACGAGAAGCUUGCUUCUCUGAUGUUAGCGGCGGACGGGUGAGUAACACGUGGAUAACCCACCUAUAAGACUGGGAUAACUUCGGGAAACCGGAGCUAAUACCGCAUAAUAUUUUGAACCGCAGGGUUCAAAAGUGAAAGACGGUCUUGCUGUCACUUAUAGAUGGAUCCGCGCUGCAUUAGCUAGUUGGUAAGGUAACGGCUUACCAAGGCAACGAUGCAUAGCCGACCUGAGAGGGUGAUCGGCCACACUGGAACUGGGACACGGUCCAGACUCCUACGGGAGGCAGCAGUAGGGAAUCUUCCGCAAUGGGCGAAAGCCUGCCGGAGCAACGCCGCGUGAGUGAUGAAGGUCUUCGGAUCGUAAAACUCUGUUAUUAGGGAAGAACAUAUGUGUAAGUAACUGUGCCCAUCUUGACGGUACCUAGUCAGAAAGCCACGGCUAACUACGUG
rnacentral:rRNA from 1 species